UAUUUCUCAGGGUGGGCACGGCUGGGCAGGGGGCUCCUAAGUCUGGUGGCAGCAGUCUCCCACUGCUGCCACCCCCAGAGGCUGCCUUCACCCUGAGAUAUCCUUCCAUUUAGGAACUGCUAGUCAGUCCAGGGAGCUGACUGGAUGACAUCCACUUAGGCCCCCUUCUCCACCUCCCUCUCUGGGUUAGCAACCCACAGCGCUCAGGGUUCUAACCUGUUCUCUGCUUCCUUUCCUGCAACAGUCUACCUUGAAUUCCAUGCAGGCCCGGGUUCGAGAGCUCGAGGAACAGUGCCGCAGCCAAACCUAGCAGUUCAGCCUCCUGGCACAGGAACUCCAGGCUUUCCACCUGCACCCGGGCCCCUUGGAUCUGCUCACAUCUGCCCUGGACUGCGGGAGCCUUGGAGACUGCCCACCACCCCGCUGCUGCUGCUCCACUCCCCAGCCUUGCCGGGGGUCUGGCCCCAAAGGCCACAGACCCCAAGCCCACGUGCCAUCUUCUCUAGACCUUGACCUCCCACCAGCUCCCCUGGGUGCUGCACCCCAAAG